UCCCAGGGCUCGGUCCCGAGCCGCCCGCUCCCCCCGGGGGCUGAGUGCUCCAGGAUCGGCCUCCCCCCACCACCACCACCUCCUCCCUGGUCCCAACCCGCCCGGCUCCUCCAGGGCUGGGGACUCCAGGAUCCGUGUGGGGAUGGACGGGCGGACGGACGGACGGAUGGACGGACGGAUGGAUGGAAGGAGCCGAUCCCUCAGCGGGCCUGGAGCCCCCGUUGCCCCCCCCAUGCCCGUGUCCCCCCCGUGCCCCCCAAGCACCGGCUCCCCGUGGUGGAGAAGGGAAAUUCUUUACAGAAAUGCAGAAAAAAAGCACCCCAGUAUUUUGCUGAAUACUUUUUAUAAUGUGAGAUAUUUUUAUUUUAUUUUAUUUGGUCACUUUAAAACAACCACCCAACUAUGGAGGAGAAAAAUCAAUUAGUCCUCUAUUUUAUUUUUUUUUUCUUUUUUUUUCUUUCUCCUUCUGGUAUGUGCAUGUCAUUGCAUGACUGCUCUGAUUUUUUUCUUCUUUUGUUUUAAUAAAACUGUGCUCAGACAUUUAAGCUAAACUAAGCAAAAAUAAUAAUAAUGACUUAAAAAGAAAAAAAAAUCUUUGUUGCCAAAAGGUCGUGCUAUCCAGGUUUGAUGUCUGCAUGUGAAAAAAAAAAACUACAAAAAAACACAUUAAAAACGUACAAAAAAUAAAGAGAAGAGGAAGAAUGCAGUCUAAUUUAUGUGAACUGAAAGGAACAAAAAAAAAACAAAAAAAAAAAAACACAAACAAACCACAAUCAGGUUUAACCACACAAACCUAAGGGAAUGAUAUUUUUUGAAAGACUUUUGUAUAAAGUUGAGUACUUAGAGAAAAAAAAAAAUCAUAC